rnacentral:rRNA from 1 species
UACGAAGGGGGCUAGCGUUGUUCGGAAUCACUGGGCGUAAAGCGCACGUAGGCGGAUCUUUAAGUCAGGGGUGAAAUCCCGAGGCUCAACCUCGGAACUGCCUUUGAUACUGGGAUCUCGAGUCCGGGAGAGGUGAGUGGAACUGCGAGUGUAGAGGUGAAAUUCGUAGAUAUUCGCAAGAACACCAGUGGCGAAGGCGGCUCACUGGCCCGGAACUGACGCUGAGGUGCGAAAGCGAUGGGGAGCAAAC